rnacentral:tRNA from 1 species
GGAACUGUGCCCGAAGGUUUAAGGGCCACUUUGAUAGAGUGAACAAUGAAGGUUCAAGUCCUUCCAUUUCCU